AUUUUUCUCAUGUUCUUCAAGUACGUAAGUUUUUUUCCUUUUUUGCAUGGGUUUAUUUAUUCAAUGCAAGAUUCUUUUAUAAAAGAACCUUUUAUGUUUGAAUAGAUUCUACAGAAAAGCUUCUUAGUUCUCACUCCUGGGUUUUAGCUGUUUUGUUUAUUGAAUUUGAGCAUAAUAUUGAAUGUGACUAAGAGUGUUCUCUUUUUCUUUUCUUUUUUUUAAUACCAAAAUUCUGACCUUUUUCAACUUUUGUUUUACUAAAGUUUCCUUGGAAGAACUCCAGAUCAUGAUCUAGGGGCGGCCGACCGCUUCGCCCCCGGUGGAUUGCCGACCCCUAUCACCUCUUUCGUUUUUCUUUCUAUUCUACGGAUUUCUUCCCUCCUCAGGCCAAAUAAAAUCUCCUUUGAGGAGAUGGCGGUCGGAGAGCUCAUCGGCGGUCCUGGUGGUGGGAGCUGAGAGACGUUCCUGGGCUGUGAGUCGCUUAUCCCUUGAACGAAAAUAAAUCUAUAUUUUAUAUAUUUAAAAUAAAUCUAUAUGUUAUCCCCACAUAUAUGAAUGGUUCCAUAUAUAAGAAAAAAGGUACCCAAUUCCAUUUUACGGAGUUGCAAUUAUAUAUUCCAAAUAAUUUUAUUUUUACAGGUAAAUGCUCAAUACCCAAGUAGGCAUGCAAAGUUGAUCGUGAUCAAAUGCUUUAUGGGUAGUUUUAAGCCUUGCGAUUCACCUUUAUCUCAAAACUAUAUCGAGAUUUUUUACACACAAAGGAUUUACUUGUUACUAAUAUAGUCUAGCUUUCUUGAGCUGCUUUGCUUCUUCACCCUUCAAGGCGGGACGAUCUUUUUUUUGAGGAGGGAGCGACAAGGAUCGUCGGUGCAAUGGUCCUCCAUUGUGGUGAUUUUGUUGGUGUGGGCGGCGACUCUAUCUCCCUGUUUUCUUCUUAGAUUAAUGGGGGAUUUUAGAAUAUAUCUAAUUUUUAUUUUUAUUUGUGUCCUGAUGCUUCCCUUCAAUAGUUCAUGAGUUUUUUUUAUUUUUAGUAAAAUUUCUAAGCAAAGCAAACGUAAUUGUCUUCAUUGGCCUACUUUUUCUUGGCAAUUAUAUUUACAGUUCGGCUUUUUAAAAAGCCUUUUUUUCCCCAUGGUUUGAUGAUUAAAAUAUGGCAAAUUGGAUUGUUUCAAAUUUCAAGGGUUUUAAGUUUAAAUACUUUGAUGCUUGUUUAGAUUAAUGAAAAUUAUUAUUUUUAAGAGAAAAAUUAUUUUAAAAGUUAUACUGAAAUUCUACAUUAUUAUUGAUCUAUGUUGUUUACUGAUAGAGAAAGGAAAACGCGUCCUACAAUAAGUAUUUUAACUGCCACAUCAGUGAA
rnacentral:lncRNA from 1 species